UGUGGGUCAAAAAAAGCAUAGUUAUAACAUCCUGUUUCAAUGUAAACCAAAGUCAGAGUCGUAUAAAAGUAAUUUAACCACUGGCAAAAAGAGCAGAUGAAUAAAUAUUUAAUAUCUAUCUACCACUCUGGAAUAACUACUUUUUCCUCACUGAUUUUUAUGAAAAAUACAAGAUGCUGUAUCUUUCUCUUGUCUUGGUGUAACUCUGAGCAUAUUUGUGUCAUUCAUCUGCUUGUUAUUAUAUAUUUAACCAAAGACAUUCUGCUUUCUGACAUAAUAACUUUCUCCCAGCUUUAAGCAGAAGAACUUAAAGGUGUGGUUCCUACCAAACCUUAUCUCUCUGCUGUGUUUACCAUAGAGUGCAAUUUAGUUUCAAGUCUCUGUUUACCUUUAGAACUCAGGGCUUUGACAACUAAUAUUGAAGACACAUUUCUUCAGAAAGGCAUUUAAUGUUUCUUAGCACAUUCCUUCACAAUUAAUUCCCUGAAUUAUAUUGUUUUUUCUGAUCUUUUUCAGUGUUUUUAUGUUUUAUUGUUAUGCGCUUUGGUCUUCUUAUUUAGAUGUUUUAAAGUGCACAAUAAAUCAUGAAAUGCAAUUAAAUGAAUAUUAUCUUAAUUAGUAAGGAAAAGAUUAGCAUAAUUUUCUGAAAAUCGCUAACAAAUAGUAAUUUUCUAAACCACCAUUUAAAUUUUUAUAUUAUUGCAAUUGUCAUACUAGACAAAGCACCAGUCCUUGUGCUGAAUUGUCUUAGACAUUUUAGACUGCCUGAACUCCCACAUUGUUUUGCUGCUCCAGUUGAAGUCCCAGUUGGUUAAACACUGCAGCUGAAAACCUGACUCAGCAACAAGGCAGCAUUUCCAUCAACCAUUGGUUUCCAUCUGCAUUUUAGCCAAACAAGUCAUCCUAUUUUUCUGCAUCUCCACAACUAUACAUUGUUUUCUUUGUCACAGAAACAAAAUGGCAGGUGUAUACAUUGCCUUAAAGGUAUUAAACCCCUGAUACAUUUUCUUUUAACAUUUUGCCAAACCCUUAUGUCACAACCACAAUCUUUAAAGUGUUUUUUGGGGGAUUUUAUAUGUUGACCAACAAAAUAAGUUGCACAAUUGUGAAGUGGAAGUGCAAUAAUGCUUUUCAAAAAUGUUUUAGAAAUCAAAAAAAGUAUGUAUUGAGACCCCUUACUUCAAUACACCUAAAUAAAAUCCAGGGCUGAUUCCCUAAGUAAUAAAGUAUCCCUCCAUGUAAUUUAUUUAAGUAGUAAUAUUGCUGUUCUUUAAAGUCCUCACAGGUUUGUUAGAGAACAUUAGGGAAUAAAGAGAAUCAAUAAGACCAAGGAACACAUGUCAGUCAGAAAGCUGUAGGGUAGUUCAAAACAUGGUUAGAUUAUUAAACAAUAUAUCAUGCUUAAACAUCUAAUGUAGUAAUGUCCAAUCCAACGUCCACAAAUGGAAAGACACUGUCUCAAUGGCAAAGCUACCAAGACAUGACUAUCCUAAAAUGGCUGGGCAGGGACAGCAUUAUGCGUAGAAGCAGCCAAGAGGCCCAUGGUAAUUAAGGGGGAGCUACAGAAAGUGGGUAAAACAAAGCAACAGUUGAAAGAAAGCCUUGAGAAGUCCUGUUUGCUAUGAACAAUGUAGAUGGCAGAGAAUAUGUGGACAAAGACAGUCCAAUGAGAACAAAACCUAACGUUUUUGCCUAUAGCCAAAUGCUAUGUGUGAUAGAAAACCUAAUGCUGCACAUCCCCCUGAAAACAAUAUCCCCACGGUGGAACAUGGUGUGGGAAGAAUCAUGCUGUGCCAUGUCUGUGGGUAGGUAAAGGACCCAAGUGCAUAGACUGACCGAGGGAAGAGCAGCGCUAACAAGGAGAGCUAAUAAGAAGACUUAUAGGGAAAUCAGCUGGAAGAGCAGAACAUGAAGCACCGCAGAGAAACGGGAAAACCCAGCAAGGAACAAUGAAAAACCAGGAGCUUAAAUAAUGAGGAGGUGGAAAUUGACAGAUGAACCGGAUGAGCUAAUCAGAGAAGAUGUGAAACAAUUGUGCAAGAAUGAAAGCAGGGAAACUGAGGGAGGGAGACUAAUUAAGACAAAGGGAGCUGAACUAAGGUUCAAAAGGAUCUGCAAACCAAAAGGGAAGAAGCCUGACACUAACAUAAGAGAAUAAACCGCAAUAUAUACAGUAGAUAAAAGAUCACAAGGAAUAAUAAUAAUAAAAUAAGAAAUUUAAGCAAAUUAAUGAACCUAUAUGGCAAAACCCGAAUUGCAAUAAUAAAUGACUAAAAUACAUUUUCUAACAAUAAUAAACCCAGAAAUAUUAAGAAAGAAAUCAAAAGGAAAAUCAAAACAGCUGUGGUCAGGCUUUUAGUGAGCAGGGACAGGGAAGCUGGUCAGAGCUCAUGAGAAGAUAGAAGGAUCUAAAACGAAGGCAAUACUAGAAGAAGUUACAGGCAGAGCAAUGACUCCAAACAUACUUCCAGAGCAACAAUAGAAUGUUUUAGAUCAACACAUAUUCGUGCCAUUUAUCCAAUCUAAACUUGAGCUCGUUUGCGAAGAAGAAUGAACAAGAAUUUCUGUUAUAAUGUUAAAGGCUGGUAGCGACAUACCUCCAAAGGCUUGCACCUAUAAUUGCAUCAAAAGGUGGUCCUACAGAGUUAAUUUGUCUUCAGGAUGCUGUUUGUUCACUAUGUUCUCCCACAAAACCCAGAGGCCCACCUACAACAGCUAUAUUUACACUAAUAUUAAAUUACACACAGGUGGAUUCAAAAAAGGUAACUUCUAAAGGCAUCUGGUUGAACUGGAUUUUAUUGUAGGGUAUCUGUGUAAAGUGGGUUAAAUACAUAUUACUGCCACACUUUCAGAUUUAUAUUUAAUUUUGAAAGCUGUAAAUCUUUUUCCUUCUGUAACCAGAAAGAAACUCAGAAAAAACUGCCCUUAAUCCCACCUUUGCUGCUCCAUUGGUUGGACUGACAGUUGGUCACACGGUGCAUUCAGCCAAUCACUGCACCUGAAGAGGUUAUUCAGGCCUGCCCCAGUUUUCCCAAUCAGGUGUGAGGGGGAGAGCUGGAGACAAAGGAGCUACAGAUCUGAAUACCCAGUGAGCUUGUAGCCAUGAAGCGGUCAUGCGCUGAACUAUAUAUGGAAUUGGCCAGGUGACCCUUUUUAGGGUUAAAGGAUGGUGAGCUUCUGACAACUGGCUGGGCCAGGAGAACUUGAAAUUAACUCCAUAUUGGACUGGUAGGAGGCUGAUGGUCCGUAGUGUUUCCCCCUCCUUCUCACUAUACUGACACACAAUCCAUUAUUCAUCUCUUCAUUGGGAACAAAUUGUGCUUGGACAUUUUCAUCUUAAAUCUCUGGAUAAUUAGACCAUGAACUAUUUAAAUGUGUGUCAGUCAGACAUUGUGCUGACCGGAGGGGAAAUUUAGGAUUUUUGUGCACAUUCAUAUGGAAGAUCUACUGCAGUACUGUGUAUAUACAUAUUGUAUUUAUUGUUUGGUUCUAUGUAUGUUUUGUGUCUUGUGGUGGUCACUUUAAUUAUCCCUUCUAUAAAAUACAUGGUAUUGAAAGCA